UACGAAGGGGGCUAGCGUUGUCCGGAUUUACUGGGCGUAAAGCGCACGUAGGCGGCUUUGUAAGUUAGAGGUGAAAGCCCGGGGCUCAACUCCGGAAUUGCCUUUAAGACUGCAUCGCUAGAAUUGUGGAGAGGUAAGUGGAAUUCCGAGUGUAGAGGUGAAAUUCGUAGAUAUUCGGAAGAACACCAGUGGCGAAGGCGACUUACUGGACACAUAUUGACGCUGAGGUGCGAAAGCGUGGGGAGCAAACAGG
rnacentral:rRNA from 1 species